rnacentral:lncRNA from 1 species
AACAUCAAAACGAAUUAGAACAAUCUACUAAGAACAAUCAAGCAUAGAGAGAGAAAGUUUGCAAACCUUUUUUGAACGAAAAAAUGAACAGAUGUUGCUUGUAUUUAUAGGCAAAUUUUAGGAUGAAUUUUGGCUCCAUGCUUGGGGGCUAAGUUUAAUAAAUGCUGCCUAAAUUGUUUGGGGCCCAAGUUUUAAAAAAUGUCUGCUGAAUUUUGCAAGAUUACAUAGUAGGUAAAACAAAAAAGCAAAACAUGUUGGUUAAUAAGAUGGUUCAAUU